UGACGGUUUUGUUGAUUACUCAGUUUAAAUUAGUUUUUGGGAUGAUUUCUGUUGUGUUCAAGUGGAAACGAGAUCUAAAAGUGUUCAGAAUGCUAAAACUCAUGAUUAAUAUUCGCUUGAAACUUGAAAAAACUCAAAUAAAUCGGUGAAUCCCACUCGAAAACCUUUAAGUAUCUGGAUUUUCGGUUUCUGAGAAAUAUGGAUCUAGUGAAGGGACAGAUUACCUUUACCUGGCCACCCGAAGAAAUUAAAAGGGUUGAAACUGUCUGAAAAGACCUCUUUCGAUUUUAACUGUCCUCUGAGUUUUUGUGUUUCUCAAAUCAUUGUUGUCCCCAUCAACAUCAGUAUUGUUUGCAGUCACGCAAAAUUGGUAAAACUUAGAAUCUUGUUACAACGAUGGUUGUAACAAGUUGCUAAAGGAUGCUCUAAUGAGCAGAACAAAAAUGAGACAAAGAGUUUCCACAGGUUUCCUUUUAAACGCCCAGAUAUUUUGGAACUUUGGAUUACUGCUGUAGGAAGGGAAAAUUGGUAUCCCUCAAAGUAUAGUAGAAUAUGUGAAGAUUACCUUCAUAAUCCAAGUUAUACAAGAAAUAUAUUGAAACUUGAUGCUGUACCAAGUGUAUUCAAUAAUAUCCCAAGACAUUCAAGGAUCAUGGAAUACUUACAGUUCCAUCACUCUUCAUAUAAAACUCACUGUGUUAUGUGCAUCAGAAGUGGAAGAACUUUCCGACCAAUUCGAUAAAUCAUGCAUAUGAAACAAGAAAUAAAGACUCCUUGCAGAUUCCAGUGCACCAUCUGAAGCGCAUAGACCAGGGCAUGGACUUCUGGGGCCCCAAACUAUAUAAUAAACUUCCUUCUGAGUUUCAUGACAAGUCCUUGAUGAACUUUAAGAGAGAAGUGAAAAGGUUGCUUUUAAAUGAAACUAUAUAUUCUAUAGAAGAGUUCUUAUGGAGAAAGAAUAUGUGAUGAGGAUUGUUUUUUAUUUUUAUUGUGUUUGUAUGCAUGUUGUUACCACUGUGAUAUUUUAUAUUUGUUUAUUUCUGUCGACACCAUUUGUAAUAUUAAUUGCAAAUGAAGAUCCAUCUAAUCUAAUCUAAUCCGAUGAGAAGCAGAGCGCAUGUAAGUUUUCGAGUGAAUUUAAAUUAUUUGAAAUCAAUAAUUUUCUUUUUCAUUGUAGACUAUUACUGAAGAUAUAUGUAAACUAUUAUAUAUAUA